ACUCCGUGCCAGCAGCCGCGGUAAGACGGGGGAUGCAAGCGUUAUUCGGAAUUAUUGGGCGUAAAGCGUCUGUAGGUGGUGAGGAAAGUGUUUUGUUAAAGAUCAGGGCUCAACCCUGGGAAAGCAUGGCAAACUAUCUCACUUGAGUUCGGUAGGGGCAGAGAGAAUUCCCAGUGUAGCGGUGAAAUGCGUAGAUAUUGGGAGGAAGACCGGUGGCGAAGGCGUUCUGCUGGGCCGUAACUGACACUGAGAGACGAAAGCUAAGGGAGCAAAUAGGAUUAGAUACCCUAGUAGUCUUAGCUGUAAACGAUGCACACUAUGCUUUGCAAUUUGCAGAGCAAAAGCUAACGCGUUAAGUGUGCCGCCUGGGGAGUACAUUCGCAAGGAUGAAACUCAAAGGAAUUGACGGGGACCCGCACAAGCGGUGGAGCAUGUGAUUUAAUUCGAUUCAACGCGA
rnacentral:rRNA from 1 species